AUUGAACGCUGGCGGCAGGCCUAACACAUGCAAGUCGAACGAGUGGCGGACGGGUGAGUAAUGUCUGGGAAACUGCCCGAUGGAGGGGGAUAACUACUGGAAACGGUAGCUAAUACCGCAUACCAUCGGAUGUGCCCAGAUGGGAUUAGCUUGUAGGUGAGGUAACGGCUCACCUAGGCGACGCUCCCUAGCUGGUCUGAGAGGAUGACCAGCCAGUCUGUAAGGUGGACACGUGCCAGACUCCUAAGGGAGGCAGCAGUGGGGAAUAUUGCACAUUGGGCGCAAGCCUGAUGCAGCCAUGCCGCGUGUAUGAAGAAGGCCUUCGGGUUGUAAAGUACGUUCAGCGGGGAGGCGUUACCCGCAGAAGAAGCACCGGCUAACUCCGUGCAAGCAGCCGCGGUAAUUC
rnacentral:rRNA from 1 species